GGUCUUUGCUCUUACGAGGUGGGGGGCAGAACCAUGGAGCUAAAUCCCUGGCCCCUGACCCCAGCACUCUCUAAUUCUUGAUUUCCAUCAGCUAGCCCUGAGCUUUUACAGUGGGAGGUUUGAUUUCAGUAGGAAAAUGUUUAUAACAGGGCUUGUGGAUUCUUGCUUCUUUCUAAGUCCGUAAUGUUUUUAUGCAGGAAGUCAAGAAAAGACUCUUUUAGAGCCAACCUGCAAUUUCCCGUGUUUCUCUUCCCAGCAACCAAAAGACCCCAGACUACUAUACUUGGAGUCCCAUCCAAACUUUUGGGAAGCAAAAAUGUAAGAAGCAGGAGGAGGACCCAAUAUCAGGAGGAGGCUUCCUUGCCUUGAGUUGUUGCAGUAACAGGACACGGACAAGUUUCUUCUCUGACAACUUUUUCUACUGUCACAGACAUUUGUGCUGGUCACAGAUGGGCAUGAUGAGAAACUGGAGGUGAAAAUGGAUAGAUACUCUGUGGGCUGCAGAUGGUGAUGGAAGAAACUAGAAUUCUCACUUGUGAGAGACGUUGUCCAUGGAGCAUGGAAUCUCUCAGGUCUUUAUCGAGCCCUACAUGCCUUCAGGAGUCACAGGAUGAAACGAGGGUCCCGUCCUUUCCUUCUGACAGCAUUGGUUCUUCUUCCUUCCCGUCUUCACUGCUCCUGAGAAAACAUGGAUUUGGGGUGGAGAGUUUCAGGGAUACUCCGAUUCCUUCGUACUAUCAUUGCCAUCAGGGAAAACUGGAACAUGUGCAGAAUCCUGCCACACGGGGUCGCUGUUGAAGAAUUCUUGCCACUGGCGGCCAUCUUUCCUGCGCAAUACUAGGUGAUUUUUAGGAGCUAGAUUUUGGGAAGCACCUCUGUGGAAUAUAGCAAUUUGGAAGCAGCUGUUAUAUCCCACUUCAGCGUUCUGGAUAGAACACUUCUGUCUAAGCACUUCUUGUGAUGGAAACGAGGCUGCAGGUCAUUGUGGGUGCAGGAGGGCUCCUUUCCCUGUGCUCUCUACCCAUGGCUGAGGCUCAGUCCUGUUCCCCUGUUUAUUUAGUCUGAUCUUUGAGUUGACACACCCAGAAGCUUCUUUGAUAAAUGGCUUCUCUGCAUGUGGAUAGCUACCAUCAUGCUCAAGUCACGAACACUCCGGUUCCUGGCUGUACUGACUGCAGAUGCCCUCCUCAAAAUGGCCCUCAUAGGAGGCCAGCUCUGAUGAAAGAGAAAACUGACACCUCUUGCUCAGAUGAGUUUCUUGGACCUGGAUGUUUCUGUGCACACAGGUGUGGCUUGGGCUAGAAUUAGGGAGCAGUCAGUGUUGAGGGAAUAUUAGAACUGACAUUCGCUGUCCACUUUUGCCCAUCUCUUGCGCCAGGUCUCAGUUCAUUAAGCACCCUGGAGGGUUCUACCACAAGGACGAGGAAUGUAGAGAUGCUCAAGAUUAAUCAUUUAAUCCAGAUCGUGGUACUGGGAUUGGACUCAGAGUCUUUGCCCUGAGCUGUAUACCUAGCCCUUUAUUUUUUAUUUUGAGACAAAGUCUUAUUAAGUCACUAGAUUGUCCAGUCUGGGCUCAAAUUUGCGGUACUUCUGCCCCAGCCUCCCAGGGCGCUGGGAUUGCAGGCUCCCAGAGUGCUGCUUCAGGCUGUAUGUUUUUCUUUGACACUUCUCUAUUGUCUGAAUGCAAUUUACACUUAUGUGCUUUGUAAUGGUUCUUCAGGCAGUGAUUGGCUGCAUAUAAGCCGGUGGUCCCAUAGAUUAUAAUAAAGCUAGAAGAUCCCUGCCAUCUGGUGACAUAACAGACAUCAUCAUGUCCUAAUUCAGAGCAUUAGUCCAGAUUUGUAGUAAUGCUGAAGUAAAAAAGCCUACUGUGCCAC
ensembl:lincRNA